rnacentral:rRNA from 1 species
AACGAACGCUGGCGGCAUGCCUAACACAUGCAAGUCGAACGAUGCUUUCGGGCAUAGUGGCGCACGGGUGCGUGACGCGUGGGAAUCUGCCCUUGGGUUCGGAAUAACAGUUAGAAAUGACUGCUAAUACCGGAUGAUGUCUUCGGACCAAAGAUUUAUCGCCCAGGGAUGAGCCCGCGUAGGAUUAGGUAGUUGGUGGGGUAAUGGCCUACCAAGCCGACGAUCCUUAGCUGGUCUGAGAGGAUGAUCAGCCACACUGGGACUGAGACACGGUCCAGACUCCUACGGGAGGCAGCAGUGGGGAAUAUUGGACAAUGGGCGCAAGCCUGAUCCAGCAAUGCCGCAUGAGUGAUGAAGGCCUUAGGGUUGUAAAGCUCUUUUACCAGGGAUGAUAAUGACAGUACCUGGAGAAUAAGCUCCGGCUAACUCCGUGCCAGCAGCCGCCGUAA